UGAGAUUUAUGAAGGCAGAAUUACUUUUAUGGUUACUAUUAUUAUCAUUGGUUUAGCUAUAUUUUCAAUGAUCAAAAUAAUGCUAUUUUUCUAUUACUAUCGAAAAUUUGAGCAAAAGCAAAAGAAGAAAUUGGAUUUCCAAAACCAGCAAAGACAUUCAGAUGAGACUACUGAUGUGUCUUCAAAGGACUUUCCAUUACAAAGCAAAGAAGUCU
rnacentral:misc_RNA from 1 species